UACGAAGGGUGCAAGCGUUACUCGGAAUUACUGGGCGUAAAGCGUGCGUAGGUGGUUUGUUAAGUCUGCUGUGAAAGCCCCGGGCUCAACCUGGGAAUGGCAGUGGAUACUGGCGAGCUAGAGUGCGGUAGAGGGUAGUGGAAUUCCCGGUGUAGCGGUGAAAUGCGUAGAGAUCGGGAGGAACACCAGUGGCGAAGGCGGCUACCUGGACCAGCACUGACACUGAGGCACGAAAGCGUGGGGAGCAAACAGG
rnacentral:rRNA from 1 species